UACGAAGGGGGCUAGCGUUGUUCGGAAUUACUGGGCGCAAAGCGUAUGCAGGCGGAUCGUUAAGUCGGGGGUGAAAUCCCGAGGCUCAACCUCGGAACUGCCUUCGAUACUGGCGACCUUCGAGUCCGGGAGAGGUGAGUGGAACUGCGAGUGUAGAGGUGAAAUUCGUAGAUAUUCGCAAGAACACCAGUGGCGAAGGCGGCUCACUGGCCCGGUACUGACGCUGAGGUGCGAAAGCGUGGGGAGCAAACAGG
rnacentral:rRNA from 1 species